rnacentral:rRNA from 1 species
CAGCCGCCGCGGGAAUACGAAGGGUGCAAGCGUUAAUCGGAAUUACUGGGCGUAAAGCGUGCGUAGGCGGUUUGUUAAGUCUGCUGUGAAAUCCCCGGGCUCAACCUGGGAAUGGCAGUGGAUACUGGCAAGCUAGAGUGUGUCAGAGGAUGGUGGAAUUCCCGGUGUAGCGGUGAAAUGCGUAGAGAUCGGGAGGAACAUCAGUGUCGAAGGCGGCCAUCUGGGACAACACUGACGCUGAGGCACGAAAGCGUGGGGAGCAAACAGGAUUAGAUACCCCCGUAGUCCCUGUCUCUUAUAC